rnacentral:tRNA from 1 species
GUUCUUAUAGUUGAGAUAUCA